rnacentral:rRNA from 1 species
UACGUAGGGUGCGAGCGUUGUCCGGAAUUAUUGGGCGUAAAGGGCUUGUAGGCGGUUUGUCGCGUCUGCUGUGAAAAUCCGGGGCUCAACCCCGGACUUGCAGUGGGUACGGGCAGACUGGAGUGUGGUAGGGGAGACUGGAAUUCCUGGUGUAGCGGUGGAAUGCGCAGAUAUCAGGAGGAACACCGAUGGCGAAGGCAGGUCUCUGGGCCACUACUGACGCUGAGAAGCGAAAGCAUGGGGAGCGAACAGG